rnacentral:rRNA from 1 species
UACAGAGGGUGCGAGCGUUGUCCGGAAUUAUUGGGCGUAAAGAGCUCGUAGGCGGUUUGUUGCGUCGGCUGUGAAAUCCCGAGGCUCAACCUCGGGUCUGCAGUCGAUACGAGCAAACUAGAGUGUUGCAGGGGAGACUGGAAUUCCUGGUGUAGCGGUGAAAUGCGCAGAUAUCAGGAGGAACACCGGUGGCGAAGGCGGGUCUCUGGGCAACAACUGACGCUGAGGAGCGAAAGCGUGGGGAGCGAACAGG